rnacentral:rRNA from 1 species
GAGUCUAGCAUGUGCGCGAGUCAUUGGGAUUCGUUGCUAAACCUAAAGGCGAAAUGAAAGUGAAGGCAUGCCUUGCGCAGGCCAAGGGAGGAUGGGCGCGACCCGUUCGCUGCCUCGCACUCCCGGGGCGUCUCGUUCUCAUUGCGAGAAGAGGCGCACCUAGAGCGUACACGCUGGGACCCGAAAGAUGGUGAACUAUGCCUGGUCAGGACGAAGUCAGGGGAAACCCUGAUGGAGGUCCGUAGCGAUUCUGACGUGCAAAUCGAUCGUCGGAACUGGGUAUAGGGGCGAAAGACUAAUCGAACCAUCUAGUAGCUGGUUCCCUCCGAAGUUUCCCUCAGGAUAGCUGGCGCUCGUUUUUAAACAUGUAGAGAGCGAGUCUCAUCCGGUAAAGCGAAUGAUUAGAGGCAUUGGGGUCGAAACGGCCUCAACCUAUUCUCAAACUUUAAAUGGGUGAGAUCUCCGGCUUGCUUAAAAUAAUCUUAUUUUGAAGCCGCGAGAUCGGAUCAGAGUGCCAAGUGGGCCACUUUUGGUAAGCAGAACUGGCGCUGUGGGAUGAACCAAACGCGGAGUUAAAGCGCCUAAAUCGACGCUUAUGGGAUACCAUGAAAGGCGUUGGUAACUUAAAACAGCAGGACGGUGGCCAUGGAAG